GGAAGCGUCCGAUGGAGGGGGGUAACUACUGGAAACGGUAGCUAAUACCGCAUAACGUCGCAAGACCAAAGAGGGGGACCUUCGGGCCUCUUGCCAUCGGAUGUGCCCAGAUGGGAUUAGCUAGUAGGUGGGGUAACGGCUCACCUAGGCGACGAUCCCUAGCUGGUCUGAGAGGAUGACCAGCCACACUGGAACUGAGACACGGUCCAG
rnacentral:rRNA from 1 species